CUGGGGGCCAAGAAAACUGCAAACGUCAAUUAUAUUUUCACUAAUAUGAUAGGGCAGAACCAGAGGUGCUUGCAGAGGCGUAUCUGGGGGAACAAUUUUCAGAGGAGCAUCUUAACCCUUUCUCUGCCUUCCAUUUCCUCCAUGAUACAUUGAACGCACGCCUGAGAACACCAGCUAAGGAAGAGGGGAUGCAGAAAGCGAAAGGGGAAAUAAACACUCCUUAGCUGCAAACCUCAGCUACCCACACCCACUUUGAAUAGUUUAGUGAGGAGAGUUCCCAGAUUUCUGCAUGCUGACAGUAUCUAGUUUGAUCCUAAACCUUCAGUCAGAUACAGUCUGCUCCACAUGGUUCCAUAUUUACCUGAAGCUGUCUGGCAUCCAUCCCUAUGAAAUCAUUGUGCAUGUUCUGGAGAGAUUUGCAGGGUUACUUUUUGAAAGUGCUAUAACCGUCUUCUACAUAAGCUGUCAUCUCUCCCCUUCUACCUCCCUUUCCCAUUUCUUUAGAAAUUAAAUCUGUGGACAGACGGGGAGUUGUAUCUUGCCUCUAGUGGAGAUGCGUGUCAAUCUGUGCAUUUGACAACUGUGGCUCCAUCUUAGCAUACCUGUCAACUGUCCCUUAUUUGGCAGGAAAGUCCCUUAUCCCAGCGCUGUGUCCCGCUGCUGUCCCUUAUUGAUGAUGUCCCUUAAAUUUCCCGGGUUUCAAAGGAAGCAGCUCCUCUCCCUCCCCGCCGCCGGCCAAGGAGGAGGGAGGCUCCAACUGUGUUGCUUGGCUGCGUUGCUCACCCAAUAAGGAGUCUAAGAACGACUGGGGGGUGGAGCUUGCAUGCCUUUUGCCAAUCAAAUCGGCUGCAUUGCCUGGGGACUCGCCUUUGCUCAGCGCUUCCCAGCGGAGAGAUGACGGUGGUUUUCCUUGCUGCAUCCCCUUUGCCGGGUUGCUGCGCUGUGGGAACCACCGCUUGAGGCUUCGUUUGGCUGCUGGAUGGACUUUCUGCCUUUGGCUUGGAGGGGCUCAGAAGCUGAACAUACCUGUGCUUGGAAAAUCCCUUAUUUUGGCUGCUGAUCCCUUAUUUUUGAGGCUGCUGGUCCCUUAUUUUCAAAUCUGUAAGUUGACAGCUAUGCAUCUUAGUGCGAUGCUAUUUCACAUGCUGCUGCUGGUGAAGUUUAUUUUGAAGUGUCAGUAACUUAUUAUAGCAGGUAUCUUCUGUUGGUUGCAAGGGAGAAAGUAGGUAUAAGAAAAAGAAUUACCUGGAUGCCAAGAUCCCAAGUACCCCAGCAGAGAUUUAAAAUCACAAAAUAUGUAGCAAAGUGUGGAAAUAUAGACCUUUAAAAUAUGCCUUUGUGAGUCCCAAAACUUCCCUCUUCCUCCAGCAUAGGUGAAGGCCACACGUUUUGCAAGUGUAAAAUUGGUUUAUUUACAAACUCUUCAAAGGUCUGGUUCAUGUGCUUUUCCAUACGGCAUUCAGAAAAAGUUGCACAGGCAGUAGAACUUGGCUUAGUUCCAAUGGUGAAAGUUCCUAAACUAUUGAUAUACGAACUUAAGAGCCAUGUGGUCUGAACUGCAACAACCAGCUCAGACCUCCUCACACUUGGAGAUUAUCAGGUAGACUGAAGGUGUGUGUGUGUGUGUGUGUGUGUGUGUGUGUGUGUGUGAAAAGGCUUUUUAAAAAACCAUAUAUUUGUAUGGCAGGUGGUGCUGUGGGUUAAACCACAGAGCCUAGGACUUGCUGAUCAGAAGAUCAGCGGUUCGAAUCCCCGCGACGGGAUGAGCUCCUGUUGCUCGGUCCCUGCUCCUGCCAACGUAGCAGUUCGAAAGCAUGCAGUGCAAGUAGAUAAAUAGGUACCACUCCAGCGGGAAGGUAAACGGCGUUUCCGUGCGCCUCUCUGGUUCACCAGAAGCGACUUAGUCAUGCUGGCCACAUGACCCAGAAGCUGUACGCCGGCUCCCUCGGCCAAUAAAGCGAGAUGAGCGCCGCAACCCCAGAGUCGGUCACGACUGGACCUAAUGGUCAGGGGUCCCUUUACCUUUACUGCUCCUGUUGCAACCUACUCCCCAGUUGUGCACCAGUGCAUUAUAUGAUACUAGUGUAUGUUGGCCGCAUACUUUUAAACAGAGGACACAUUCCUUUGUUGACUUUUUCUAAAGCUUAGCCUCCGGUGCAGCCCUUAGAGCUGGAGUGAACAAUUGGGGUCUACGUUCUCACGGGGUCCUUGCCACGGGAUCACAUUCAUCCAGUGCUUUACCAGCUGCACUGGCUCCCAGUGGAGUACAGGGUCAGGUUUAAGGUGCUGGUUUUGACCUUUAAAGCCCUAUGCGGCCUAGGACCCUCGUACCUACGGGACCACCUCUCCUGGUAUGCCCCAUGGAGGACCUUAAGGUCCACAAAUGACAACACUUUGGAGGUCCCGAGUCGCAAGGUGGUUAGAUUGGUCUCAACUAGGGCCAGGGCCUUUUCAGUACUGGCCCCGACUUGGUGGAACGCUCUGUCACAAGAGACUAGGGCCCUACGGGACUUGACAUCUUUCCACAGGGCCUGCAAGACAGAGCUGUUCCGCCUGGCCUUUGGUUUGGACUCAGUCUGACCCUUAUGUUUCCCUCCUCUUGUGGUUUUGAUCUAUCGGCUACUUUUAAAAUGAGGCUGCAUUUUAAAUUGCAUUUUAACCUGUAUUUUAAAUUGUUCCCUCCCUUAUGUUUUUAUUGUAAUUUUACUGGUGUUAGUCACCCUGAGCCUGGCUGUGGCUGGGGAGGGCGGGUUAUAAAUAACAUUUAUUAUUAUUAUUAUUUAUUUAUUUAUUUAUUACCUGGGGCAUCAGGCUUGCAUUUGUUGGGGAGGGAAUGCAGGGCUUGGGGAACAUUUAAUCACAUAUAUACUAUAUACUUCACAGCAUGAAACAUAUAUUUGGACUAUAUACUUCACAGCAUGGAACAUGCAACAACCGGUCCAUUCAUAGGCCCAAAUACAAAUUUCCAGGUCUUAGUGUGCUAAUAUUGAUAUUUGGGGAAAUAUGCAUGCAGUUGUGCAUCAAAGUUGUGUAAUGUGCUAUCAAUGCAACAAAAAUUAAGGCGUGCAAAUGUGGAACAAAUGGAUGAGGGUACUAAAAAAUGUUCCUUGCUUGGGAACCUUUUGCUGUUGGACUGAUUCUAUUCUGAAUUGUAGAAUCCACUAUUGACAUCCUGGGUCAUGGCAGAUAACCCUUUUGGCACUGUCCGGCCAGCUGUCUCGCUAAAUCUGGAAAUAAAAGCAGGGUUGAGACCCUAACACCUCUCAGUGUGGAAACCACGCUGGACUUUGACCUUUUUUGCUUUUGGAGCUGCAGACAUCUGUUAAGGGCUUUUACAUUCUGGACGCAUUUCAAAUUAAUACGAGCCGGAAGGCAGAUAGGAAUGGCCUUUGGAUCACAUGCUGGAUGGAUUGGCAUCAUGUGGGAUGAUAGGAAGUCUCUUCCCUCUGUGGAAUUCACAAGCCGGAUUCCAGUAGAGAUCAGCCCAUGAGAUCUGGAAUGUGCUAUCUAAGCAGCCUUCCAGGCAAUGAAUUCCCCUCCAGAUUUCAAUAGUUCAGCAAAACCAGGGAGAGAGAGAGAAAGGGAAUGCAGUUACUGAUGGAGCAUUUGAAAAUAGAUGCGAUCACCCGUCCUUCAGUUGUGUACAGUACGGUAAUCCUAUAAAUCCCAAAUCUGGCACUAGAUCUAUUAUUGCUUAGCGCUUCAGUUGUCUUAUUUCUGUGGAUGGAUUCAGUCAAUGGGGAGUUCUUUAAAUCUCCUGUUAAAAUACCAUUGUAAACUCAAUUUACCCACUGUUUGAUUCUAAACCCCCACCCCACCCCACCCCGAGAUCUGUCUUACCAUCCUAAUUGGUCAAGUGAUGUUUCUUUAGGAAUCAUUGUCUGAGCCUUCAGUUAUUCCUGCUAUUGAUGCGAGGCAGUUUCUGAAACUUGGUCAGCUGCAUAAAUAACACUUUGGUUCAGCCACAGCAUUUUCACUGCCCGAGAAAAAAGUUACUUCACCUUUGUCCCUUUGCACAUGCACAACUUGUUGGUGGCUUUUCUUUUCUUUUUUUAAAUAUUUUUUGAUUUUACAAAUAUGGAAUUAUAGCAAUCCAAAUUACAUAUCCAUAUUUAGAGAUUUCUCCAAAUCUCUGGACUUCACACCUUCCCCUCUAUGGGUCCUGUUGUACACCUUCUCAAAUGCAUAGUAUUUCAUAAUCUAUAUUUUAUAUCUCUCCAUAUUGUCCAUAAUAUUUGCUAUUUGUUGUUAGAAUCCUGCUGAUGUUUUCAUCUGCUUACAGUGGUCUCCUAGGUAAAUUGUAAAUUUUCCCCAUUCUUUGUCGAAGUUUUGAUCUUCUUGGUUCCUGAGCUUUCCGGUCAGUUUUGCCAUUUCAACAUAGUCCACCAGCUUAGUUUGCCAUUCCUCUCUGACAGGGACUUUGUCUCCUUUCCAUCUCUGGGCUCAUAGCAUCCGUGCAGCUGUCGUCGCAUACAUAAAAAGUCUUUUCUGCUCCCUUGGGAUAUCUGCACCUACAAUUCCUAAUAGAAAGGCCUCCGGGGUUUUCUUAAAAUAAAAGUUAAUUUAAACAUUCCCCCCCAAUUCAUUAUACAGUGGUACCUCGGUUUAAGAACAGUCCGGUUUAAGAACGAUUUGGUUUACAAACUCCGCUAAACUGGAAAUAGUGUCUUGGUUUGAGAACUUUACCUCGGUCUAAGAACGGAAGCCGAACAUUGGAAGGGCACCGGUGGCGGGAGGCCCCAUUAGGGAAAGCACGCCUCGGUUUAAGAAUGGUUUUGGUUUAAGAAUGGACUUCCGGAACGGAUUAAGUUAAUAAAUCAAGGUACCACUGUAUAUCAUUUCCCAGAAUGCUUUUACUACCUUACAAGACCACCACAUAUGAUAAAAGAGUCCUUCUUUUUUCUUUACAUUUCCAGCAGUGCAAUGGACUUCCACUUACUGGAAUCUGUGCUGGUGCAAAAUGAUUCUGAUGAAGGGCCUGGCCUGCUCAUGAUGUCAUGCACAGUGAUGUCACUUAAUAUGUGCAUAGGGUAAUAAAGGCCCUAGCAGGGUCAAGACUUAACAGUGGGGAUCACGCACCCCUUGCAUGACCCUGCAGGCAACAAGGAGUUCCUUAAGCCUGCUGUUCAAUGCUUCAGGUAUGCUUCUGGGCAUGCUUAACAACAACAACAACAACAACAACAAGAACAAGAACUUAUUUAUACCCUGCUCAUCUGGCUGGGUUUCCCCAGCCACUCUGGGCGGCUUCCAAC
rnacentral:lncRNA from 1 species